GGGGUGGUGGCUCUGAGGUAGAGCGCUCGCCUGGCAUGCGUGAGACACUGGGUUCCAUCCUCAGACCUCA
rnacentral:tRNA from 1 species